AUGCAAGCCGCCGCGAGAUCGCUCGCCGCGGCACGCCGCCUCGCGCCUCGCAGCUGGCGCCCCCUCCCCCUCCCCCGCUUCCACACCGCCUCGCCCCACGAUCCGUCCCCGGAUCCGGGCCCAGACGUCGACCCAGGGCUCGUGAGCACGCUUAGCCGCGUGCUCAGCGACUUCCGUGGCCCGCGCCACGACCUCCCCGCCGCGCUCCGCGGCUUCGCGCCGCGCAUCACCCCCGACGCGGCGGCCGCGGUGCUGCGCCGGUGCCGCCACCUCCCCGUGCCGUCUCUCCGGUUCUUCCUCUUUGCCGCGGGGCUGCCCGGGUUCUCUCACCUGCCGGAUUCGCUCCUCAUCCUGGCCAAUUCGCUCGCUGGUGCGCGGCUCUUCCCGCUCCUGCGCUCGCUGCUGUCUGACCUCCCACCGGCUGCGCUCUCGCGGGACCUCUUCCCGCGGUUGUUCCGUGCUUACUCACGUGCGCUUCUCCCGGAUGAUGCGAUCCGGGCCUUCUCCUCCAUGGCGGGGUUCGGCUUCCACCCAACGCUGGCCGAUUUCCACUCGCUGCUAUUCGCCUUGUGCCAUAAUGGCCUUGUAAAUCAUGCUGAGGUCUUCUUCAAAGAGUCGGGGACCCAUUUCGAUGUCUCAGCCAAGACCUACACCAUCCUGAUCUCUGGGUGGGCUGUUGUGGAAAAGCCGGAAAACGCGCAAAAGUUAUUUGAUGAAAUGGUUGAGAGAGGUGUUGAGCCUGAUGUGCCUGCCUACAAUGCAUUGAUUGAUGCCUUAUGCCGCGGAGGUGAUAUUGCACGUGCGCAGGAACAUCUGAAAGAUAUGCAACAGAGCCGUGGGCUUGUUCCAGAUGCUGCUACUUAUGGUCCAUUCCUUCGUGCUGCCUGUGCAUCCAAGGAUGCUCGGGAUGCUCUUCGUGUACUAGAUAGGAUGCGCAUGCAUGACCUCACACCAAAUGUAUUCACAUAUAAUGCUAUAAUUCGGUUAUUGUGCGAACUGGGAGAGAUUGAGGAGGCUUAUAAUAUCCUUGGUGAGAUCAUUACGCGAGGGGAAAAGCCUGAUGUUUGGACAUGCAACACUCUGCUUAAUGCACAUUGUAAGAAGAAUGAGGUGAACAAGUCUUUGAGGCUUAUUGCAAGAAUGGAUAAAGGCUUGUGUGUGCCAGAUCGUCAUUCUUACAACAUGUUACUAAAAACGUUGAUUGGUGUAGGAAGGAUUGAUAAGGCUGUUGAGGUAUGGGACGGGAUGGAAACACGUGGCUUUCACCCAGGCGCAGCAACUUAUGCUGUCAUGAUCCAUGGGUUAUCUUGCAAGAAGGGAAGAUUAGAGGAGGCCUGCGGCUAUUUUGUGAUGAUGGUGGAUGGAGGUAUCCCACCCUACCAGGCUACUUGUGAGGUUUUGAGGGAUAGGCUGACAAGGCAUGGUCUGAGGGAUCAACUUGAGGUCCUCAUUGAUAGGAUGAGGCGGAGCACUUCCUGCACAAUACAAGAAAUGGCAAGUAUCAUGCGCAGUAGUAAGAGGGCUGAUGAAACUAGAAGCGCGAGCAGUGGCCAAGAACUCCCAGGGCAUGAUCUUGAUGAGAAUGAAUGGAGGGGGAAAUGGAAACUAGGAGAUUGA
rnacentral:rRNA from 1 species